AACUACAGCUGUGUUUAUCACCUCCAUGUUUUUGGACACAACUUCUCCUCAGAGAGCCGCCUGCUGUCUCUGUCUGUGUUCGAUCCAACAGCUGUGGUGGUCAGAUGGGUGGUGGUGCCGCUGUCUCUGCUGCUGCUGCAGGGGGCGCUGUGGCUGUACUGUAAGGCCAGCAGGGGGCAGACCGGCAGACCGGGCGGACGCUGAGCGGAGUGCAGUGGAGGGAUGAAGUCGGUCCUCUGAACCUUCCUGCUGUGAAGACAAGAUGGUUUUUAUGAGCUUUUUCCAGAAAUGAUGAAUUUGAUCACGUUCCUACAGACAGCGGAACAAGGUUCCUUUUCCUUUUGUGGACCGAGGUGAAAAAAAAGAGUGUUGUUUUUGCCGUAUACUGGACCACUGUAGAUGUCCUUUUUUAAUCUCCCUUUUUACACUUUUGUCUCCUUUUCCAUUUGUUUUUAAGUCAUAUCAUGUGUGCUCAUUUAAUCAUAUAUUAUCAGCUGCUCCGCUCAUGCUGACUGUGUUUAACUGAGGAGAUAUUUUUGUGAUUGUAAUCCAGCUUAUUAGCUUUUGCAAAAGUUUGCUUUUUCAGCACAAAGGUGAAGCAGGAUGUGGUUUGCAGCAGGUGUUGAACCGUAUGGAACCGGACCAGUCUGUAUUCCAUCCUGAGUGGUUGAUCUGGGCCUGAAGAACUCACGUGUGGAUCUCACAUGGGCUGCGUGCAUCUGUUGUUUUUUUGGUUUUUUUUGACAAUGUUUUUUUCCUUCUCUCUUGUCUUUCUCUCUUUUUUUUGAGACCUGAGGCUGUGGUUGGUUUCCUUGGUAACUAAACAGAUGCACAGCAUCAGAGGACGUGUCCAUGGGACCGGAGUGUAUCAGUAGACCCUGUUUUCCUGUGGGUGGUGCUCGCUCUCACUCAGAGAACCCCCCGGAGCUCUUUGGGUGAUAAGCUUCUGAAAUCUGGAGAGAG